AACGAACGCUGGCGGCAGGCCUAACACAUGCAAGUCGAACGAGUGGCGGACGGGUGAGUAAUGCCUGGGAAACUGCCUGAUGGAGGGGGAUAACUACUGGAAACCGUAUCCAAUACCGCAUACCAUCAGAUGAGCCCAGAGGGGAUGAGCGAGUUGGUGGGGUAACGGCUCACAAAGGGGACGAUCCCUAGCGGGUCUGAGAGGAUGACGCGCCACACUGGAACUGAGCCCCGGUCCAGACUCCUACGGGAGGCAGCAGUGGGAAAUUUUGCACAAUGGGCGCAAGCCUGAUGCAGCCAGGCCGCGUGUAUGAAGAAGGCCUUCGGGUUGUAAAGUACUUUCAUCGGGGAGGCGUUACCCGCAGAAGAAGCACCGGCUAACUCCGUGCCAGCAGCCGCGGUAAUUC
rnacentral:rRNA from 1 species